GGGCCCGCACAAGCGGAGGAACAUGUGGUUUAAUUCGAUGAUACGCGAGGAACCUUACCCGGGUUUAAAUGGGAAGUGACGUACUUGGAAACAGGUAUUUCUACGGACACUUUUCAAGGUGCUGCAUGGUUGUCGUCAGCUCGUGCCGUGAGGUGUCGGGUUAAGUCCCAUAACGAGCGCAACCCCUGCCGCCAGUUGCCAGCAAGUAAAGUUGGGGACUCUGGCGGGACUGCCGGUGUAAACCGCGAGGAAGGCGGGGAUGACGUCAAAUCAGCACGGCCCUUACAUCCGGGGCUACACACGUGUUACAAUGGCCGGUACAGAGGGCAGCGACCCAGUGAUGGCGAGCGAAUCCUCAAAGCCGGUCUUAGUUCGGAUCGGAGUCUGUACCCGACUCCGUGAAGCCGGAUUCGCUAGUAAUCGCGCAUCAGCCAUGGCG
rnacentral:rRNA from 1 species